rnacentral:rRNA from 1 species
UACGUAGGGUGCGAGCGUUGUCCGGAAUUAUUGGGCGUAAAGAGCUCGUAGGCGGCUUGUCGCGUCGGUUGUGAAAGCCCGGGGCUUAACCCCGGGUCUGCAGUCGAUACGGGCAGGCUAGAGUGUGGUAGGGGAGAUCGGAAUUCCUGGUGUAGCGGUGAAAUGCGCAGAUAUCAGGAGGAACACCGGUGGCGAAGGCGGAUCUCUGGGCCAUUACUGACGCUGAGGAGCGAAAGCGUGGGGAGCGAACAGG